rnacentral:rRNA from 1 species
CCUACGGGUGGCUGCAGUGAGGAAUAUUGGUCAAUGGUCGAGAGCCUGAACCAGCCAAGUCGCGUGAAGGAUGACUGCCCUAUGGGUUGUAAACUUCUUUUGUCAGGAGCAAUUGGGUCCACCCUGUGCCUUAUUGAGAGUACCUUAAGAAAAAGCAUCGGCUAACUCCGUGCCAGCAGCCGCGGUAAUACGGAGGAUUCGAGCGUUAUCCGGAUUUAUUGGGUUUAAAGGGUUCGUAGGCGGAAUUUUAAGUUAGGCGGGAAAAUUUGGGGCUCAACCCCAGCAUGGCCGUUAAAACUGUCGUUCUUGAGUGGGCGAGAAGUAUGCGGAAUGCGUGGUGUAGCGGUGAAAUGCAUAGAUAUCACGAAGAACUCCGAUUGCGAAGGCAGCAUAC